UAGAACAGACACAGAUCGCAGAUUUACACAACAAGAUCCGUGCUCGUGUGACACCACCGGCUGCUGACAUGACCCAGAUGAAUGAAAACUCGGGUAUCGGAAGCACUGCAGAGAGAUUUGCCCGACGAUGCAGUGCCGAAAGCACGUGGUACCAAAGGGCAACACCAGGUGGAUACCUUAUUGGUCAAAAUCACCUCUACAGUAACACACCUGCUGACUUGGACAGAUGUCAUCCGCAUUUGGGAAGCUGAAAAUACCAGUUUUGUUUAUGGCUCAACGGGAAAUAACCCGUCACUUGUUGGUAACUACACACAGAUGGUUUCAUCGGAGACAUCCUCUGUUGGGUGUGGCGCAGCUCGAUGCAGUGGCUUCUACCUGUACAUUUGUCUAUAUGCCCCCAUGCUUGACCCUGUACGAAUAAACAAACCGUACAAAGAAUCCAAUAAAUCAUGCGACGACUGUCCUGGUAAAUGUAAUGGUACUCUAUGUGAUUACGGUGGACUUAUAUGCCUGAGCGGAUCUAAGUUGAACAUGUCUACAUAUACGUGUGGUUGCGUGUCUACUGUCCGUCCAGGAACGUACAAUGACAGCGUUUGCUUUCUG